GAAGGUAUAGCUCAGUGGUAGAGAGCAUGCUUAGCAUGCAGGAGGUUCUGGGUUCAAUCCCCAGUGUCUCCA
rnacentral:tRNA from 1 species